rnacentral:rRNA from 1 species
GAGUUUGAUCCUGGUUCAGGACGAACGCUGGCGGCGUGCCUAACACAUGCAAGUCGAACGGAGACUUUCAAUAAGUUUACUUAGAGAAAGUUUUAGUGGCGGACGGGUGAGUAACGCGUGGGUAACCUACCCAUAAAGCCGGGACGACCCUUGGAAACGAGGGCUAAUACCGGAUAUCCUUAUAGAGUGGCAUCACUGUAUAAGAAAAGGUGGCCUCUGUAUAUGCUACCGAUUAUGGAUGGACCCGCGUCUGAUUAGCUAGUUGGUGGGGUAAAGGCCUACCAAGGCGACGAUCAGUAGCCGGCCUGAGAGGGUGAACGGCCACACUGGGACUGAGACACGGCCCAGACUCCUACGGGAGGCAGCAGUGGGGAAUCUUCCGCAAUGGACAAAGUCUGACGGAGCAACGCCGCGUGUAUGAUGAAGGUCUUCGGAUUGUAAAGUACUGUCUUUGGGGAAGAAUGACUGGCUUGAAAAUAUUGAGUCAGUAUGACGGUACCCAAGGAGGAAGCCCCGGCUAACUACGUGCCAGCAGCCGCGGUAAUACGUAGGGGCAAGCGUUGUCCGGAAUUAUUGGGCGUAAAGGGCGCGUAGGCGGAUGCUUAAGUCCGG